ACGGAGGAUCCAAGCGUUAUCCGGAUUCAUUGGGUUUAAAGGGUGCGCAGGCGGAAUGAUAAGUCAGUGGUGAAAUCUCUCGGCUCAACUGAGAAACUGCCAUUGAUACUGUCGUUCUUGAGUACACUUGGAGUGGGCGGAAUGUGUCAUGUAGCGGUGAAAUGCUUAGAUAUGACACAGAACACCGAUCGCGAAGGCAGCUCACUAAGUUGUAACUGACGCUCAGGCACGAAAGCGUGGGGAUCAAACAGGAUUAGAUACCCUGGUAGUCCACGCCGUAAACGAUGAUCACUCGAUGUUGGCGAUAUACUGUCAGCGUCUAAGCGAAAGCAUUAAGUGAUCCACCUGGGGAGUACGAUCGCAAGAUUG
rnacentral:rRNA from 1 species